rnacentral:piRNA from 1 species
UGGGUAUGUGCAGAUGAGUGCAGUUGCCUC